ensembl:lncRNA
AGUUCCCGUUGUGGCUCAGCGGGUCAAGGACCUGACAUAUUAUCCAAGAGGAUGCAGUUUGAUCCCUGGCCUUGCUCAGUUGGUUAAGAAUCUGGCGUUGCCAUCAGCUGUGGUGUAGGUCACAGAUGCGGCUCAGAUCCCCGCCUCUCCCUUCUGGGAAUGAUGCCCCCUCCUCUGAAGAACCUUCUCUUCCCUCUUAGAACCCAAGCAGGUGCCCACUGCCCUGGCCACAGCUGGAUGUAACAAAGUGGACAAGUGACCGACUGUGACCUGGCCCGGUGGUGCUCCUCCCUGGGACGUUUGACAGCCGGAGCUGGAGAAAGGGGUUUCUUUCUCUGGUGGCUGAAGCGAGGGGCAGCCAUGCUUCCUGCCGAGCAGAGGGAGCCGGUCUGAAGAAAGGAAGGAACGAGCAGAGGGGAGAGAGGCAGUCCUGGUUGCUGUCAAGGCCCAGACUCAGGUGGCCCCGAGGCCCAGCUGUCCUUCUGAGUUUUAUGAACAUUCCAAGAACAUUUCAUUUUCGUCUUACCUCGUUUAGGUUGAGGUUCUAUCACAUUCAACAAUGACAGCAAAACCCCACGGCCAGUGCAGUUAUUCUCCAUGAAGUAGAUACCAGAUACUUGAGGAGUGACAGGGCCACGUGGGUCUUGGAGCCCAGGCAUCCAGCCCUAAGGCGAAGAUUGUCCAGCACUGCCUGGGAACCACAGCCGGGGGCCCUGGCUCUGGUGUGGCUUCUGCUCUGAAGUGCCCUUGCAAACCCUGUGCCCAUCGGCGCCUUAGGAUAACCUCCCUCCAUCUCGCCUUGUUGGGCCAGAGGGCUCUGAAUUGCGGCGCCCAUCAAGGCACAACUUUGGCAUUCAGAUGACUUUGGCCAGCCUUGACCUUAAGUUUUUCAGUUCUCAAUCUUCUAACUGUAGAGUGAAGAUAAUACAUGCCUUUUAGGGUGGCUGUGAGGAUGACACGAGCUUAGGCAUGAAGUGUACUGAACAGGGGGCUGGGUGUAGCCAGCAUCUUGGAGUUGGCAAAGUCAAUCCCCGUUCAGUGAAAUAAAUAAUACAGUGAUGAGAGUUUGGCCAUUUACUUGAGAGCUGGUUCUUUUUUUUUUCUUUUUUUUAGGCCACGUCCGCUGCAUGCAGAAGAUCCCCAGGCCAGGGAUCGAACUUGCACCACAGCAAGACGCCAGAUCCUUAAGUUGUUGAGCCACCAGGGAACUCUGCAAGUUGAUUCUUUUUUUUUUUCUUUUGUCUUUUUUGUUAUUGUUGCUAUUUCUUGGGCCGCUCCCACGGCAUAUGGAGGUUCCCAGGCUAGGGGUCCAAUCGGAGCUGUAGCCACCGGCCUAGGCCAGAGCCACAGCAAUGCAGGAUCCGAGCCGCGUCUGCAACCUACACCACAGCUCACGGCAACGCCGGAUCAUUAACCCACUGAGCAAGGGCAGGGACUGAACCAGCAACCUCAUGGUUCCUAGUCGGAUUCGUUAACCACUGCGCCACGACGGGAACUCCUGCAAGGUGAUUCUUGAUGUUUCUACCACAAUCACAUUUCUUAACAUUUGAGGAGGGAUCUGAGGUGGUGGUGGGAGGAAAUGGAAGAGUCGGAGGAACCAGAUAGAAGAGGGAACUUCCGAGAUUCUUUCUGGGCCAGAGACUUUUCUGGAACCAGGUCAAAUGCCUUAAGUAAGUGAUCUCAUGGCCCUGAUGUUAAAUGGACCCAGAUCUACAAAAUAAGGGUGUGUCUUUCUAUUUGUUCAGGCUGUCGUUUUAUCUUACUCUCAGGAUAAGACAUGAAUGUGGUAUAGUCUUAAAAAGAACAUUUUUUUUUUUUUUUUUUUUGAGGGGGCUACACCUGCAGCAUAUGGAAGUUCCCAGGCCAGGGAUCAAACUUUUGCCUUAGUAAUGACCUGAGCUGCUGCAGAGACAAUGCUGGGUUCUUAACCCACUGCACCAAAGUGGGAACUCCUUGAUUUCUUUUUUAUUUGCCAGUUGAUCUAGCUGAGAAAAUAUAGAGAAAAUGCUCUUAGAAUUAUAACAUUACACCCAAAUUGCAAACUUUAUGGGUUGUUAUUAUGGAUGAAUAUCUUUAUGUUGACCAAAUGAAGAAGACAACAAAACAAUCCCUUUGAAAUAACUAACCAACCCUACCAAAUACAAAAUUUCUAUCUCGCAUUAAAAAUGCAUUUUCUUUUAUAAAAACAAAUUUUGGCAAGGGAGGAGAAAGGAAAUAAGUUGGUCUUAAUGCUGUAAAUAUUUAUUUUUAAACAGAGAAUGACUUAAAAUUGUGAUUAGGCAUAAAUUACUGUGUAUCCUCCAAUG